UAGUUAAGAAGAUUUGCAUGUUGGGAAGGCAGUUACAGAACUCUUGGCCUGUCUCUUGAACAGGUUGUUGGAGAUUUUUCUCAGAGACAGUUAGUGAUUUCUGUGAGAGUUAACCUGGAGAAGUUGGUUGAACAUCUGUGAGGCUGAAGAAAGUUGUUUGGGAUGGAGAGCUUUCUCCCAGAGAGAGAAAAGAUCUGUGUUGGCAAACUUAUGGAAUACCUGCCAGAGAGGACUGCUCCCCUUCCCUUCUCCAUGCACACCUCAGGAUAUUUCUCACAUCAUCCAAACCUCUGCCAAGCAGUCCAAUGGGAGUGCUAUCCCCCUUCCCCAACUGAAGUAAGGUGGGUUGCUCACAUACUAUGUGAGGGUUGCGGUUUGGGCACUUGAUCUCUAAAAGUUUCACCAUCAGUGACCUAGAUGACAGAUACGAGUGAUGACUUCUAUUCAAUCUGAAGCUUUCUGGACCAAUGCCUCUGGGUUGACUCUCACAAAACAGUAUUUUCACAAAACAAUUCACAAAACAAUUUUCUUAUAUUUAACAU
rnacentral:lncRNA from 1 species